rnacentral:rRNA from 1 species
AUUGAACGCUGGCGGCAUGCUUUACACAUGCAAGUCGAACGGCAGCGCCGGCUUCGGCCUGGCGGCGAGUGGCGAACGGGUGAGUAAUACAUCGGAACGUGCACAGUAGUGGGGGAUAGCUCGGCGAAAGCCGGAUUAAUACCGCAUACGACCUGAGGGCGGAAGAGGGGGGUCUUCGGACCUCGCGCUAUUGGAGCGUCCGAUGUCAGAUUAGCUAGUUGGUGGGGUAAAGUCCUACCAAGGCGACGAUCUGUAGCUGGUCUGAGAGGACGACCAGCCACACUGGGACUGAGACACGGCCCAGACUCCUACGGGAGGCCGCAGUGGGGAAUUUUGGACAAUGGGCGAAAGCCUGAUCCAGCAAUGCCGCGUGUGUGAUGAAGGACUUCGGGUUGUAAAGCACUUUUGGCGGGAACGAAAAGGACUGUGCCAAUACCACGGUUCGAUGACGGUACCCGAAGAAUAAGCACCGGCUAACUACGUG